AAGAAAAGACCUGGAGGAGCAUUAGGUACUGAGCAGCUGAGAAAGCCUUUUGGUCAGUCCUCAAAUCUGCUCCUCAUCACUAGACAACAUGAAGAUCUCUUUGGCUGCCAUAACUGCUCUCCUUGCUGUGGUCUUGUUCUCUGUGGCCACUGCUGCCCCAGGUAAGUCAAUUCAACUCCUUAUCUCUCCACGUGAUUCUCCUAGGAGAUUUGGGACACUCACAGGGGCUUGUGGUGACUUUUCUUGGUCCUUGAUGGGCUUGGGGAUGCUCUAAGAUGAGGUACACUUGUGAGUGUAGUACAGGAGCUUGUUCUUUGGGGAUAAAGCACUUUGAAAUGGGGAGACAUGGUGAGGGGCAUCAGUCUCUUCAUCUAAAAAGAAUUAAAAAGUUUCAUGGAGAGCAAUGUCUGCUGUGACCCUCUUCAGCUGACCUGGAAACCUACUGGAGUUGUCAGUGCUUGUUCCGUGGCAUUGAUUGACCUGUGUUUGGACAUUAGCUGGAAUAAGGAGAUAAGAAUGCAAGAAGAGCCAUGCAGUCCAGAACCCUGUUCUCACAGUAGCCAACCUGAUGCCACAAUGGGAAACCCACAAAAGCAACUCUUCCCUCCUGUGGUUUCUGGCAACUGAUUACUGCCUCCAACUGCAGAGGCAGAUCAUAGCCACCCUGGCUAUUAACCAUCAAUAACCCUGUCCUCCAUGGAUUAACCUAAUCCUCUUUUAAAGCCAUACAAGUUGGUGGCCAUCACUAGGGUGGGCCAUCUCAGGCAUGUUCCAACCAGUUUGUUGGAGAGGUGGCCCAGUGCCAUACUUAAUGGGGAGGUGUUUUUGGUUGAGCACACCCCCUUGAUGCAAUUCAUUAACCCAACGUGGAAACAUCUUAUCUUAGAUGGUGGGAAAGAAAAGACAUAGACACAUCCAUGCAGCAGGUGGAGGGGGGGAGGAAAAGGUUGUUCCAACAGUAUUUAUAACAGUAUUUAUAUUUGCAUUUAUAGCAGUAAGUUCUGUUGUCAACCACCCCAGGACCUUAUAUGGAUAGGGUAAGAAAUCUUAGAAAUGAAAUGAAAAAGUUUGAGGCAUGGCAGCUACAUGGAACCCACAUGUUAGGAGGGCCAUGCUUCUCUCCCUCCCCCCCCCCCCCAUUUCAUCCCUAUGAGAUCCUCUUCAUUUCACUGGGGCUUCGUCAGGAGACCUUCCUUGGAAAUUAUGCCCCAUCAAGCCCAGACCCAUCUGUGGCCCACCAUGCAGAGUGUGGCCUCUGUGUCUCGUGGUUGGGUUGCCCAUGACAGCUUUUCAAUAGAAGUGGGGAACUUUUUUCAGACCGAGAGCCACAUUCCCUUCUUGGGGGGGUUCACAUACCCAAAGGUAGUGAGUAUGGCCAGAAGGAAAGUGGGGAGGAGGGGAAGCACGGAAUGUGCCUCUCAGAUUCGUACAGCAAAAUAUAUCCCAGCCACACACAGAAAACCAGGGUUUCCCCCUACACACACCUCCAGUCUCCAAUUCUCUUCGCCUUCCUCGAUCCUAGCACAUGAAUCAUCAGCCAGGUCCAGGGAGAAUUCUGAGGGCCACAUACUCACGAUGGGCCACAUUCAGAAGGAGGUGCCUAACUGCUGCCAAUAAAUAUAAGGGAUAGAGAAAGGAAGAGGAUUGCAGUCCCGUCCCGUCAAGUGGAUGAUGGUGCCUCUGGUGAUAGCUACUUUGCAUUUAAUACAUUUACUAAUUUUAGUCAACAAAUCACAGUACCUGGGUUUGAUGGGCUCAGGGGUGCUCCAAAAUGAGGCACCUUGAGAGAGUCUGUGUAGCACAGCAGUUAAACGCAAGAGCAAGACUUGUUUUGUUUUCUGCACAAUGGAAAUUGGGUAUAGACAGGAUAAAGGGCACCACACUUUUUAUUAAAAGGAAUUUAAAAAGCAACACUUUAUUCAGAGAAAUGUGUGGCAGUGAUCUUGUCUAGUAGACUUCAAAGCCUACCAGAGCUGGCAGUGCUUGCUCCUUGGCCUUGAUAGGCUAGGGUUGGGCACUCGAGGAAGGUGGAGAGCAGGGAGAGAGUUCUGAGGGCCAGAGGGAGAGUCCUGAAGGGCCACAUUCAGCCAAGCCUGAAGUCCCCCACUCCUGCUUUUAAAUGCAUGAGCCUCUAUGGACAGGUAAGAUGGGGGUAACCCUCCGGUCAACUGGAAUGAUGGUGUCUCUGGUGAUAGCCACUUGGUUUUUAAUGAAUUUAGGAAAUAAAUAACAAUACCUGCUUUCCCCACCUCUUAUAGCUGAGGCAGAAGCAACUCCCUGCUGCACACAGAAUUCCGAGAACGCAUUCCUAAAGGCUAGUGUGAAGGAUUAUUUCUACACCAGCAACAGAUGUUCUCUGCCUUCCAUAGUGUAAGUUUCAGAGGCCGGGCAAGAGCCCAAAGAACAGUGGGUGAACGUGGUUCAAAGGAUGAAGGGUGAAAGAUGAUGAUGACAAAAGGUUCCAGCAUUUGGGGGGGCUAUUUUGAGUUUGGGGGAGACAGUGCUAGAGGAGGAAGACACACUGACAAAAUCAUGAGUAGGUCUGAGAGAUACGGAGGAAUUGUCACAGGAAUUGUCACCAGGGAGCCAAGAUGGGUUGUGUCUUCCCACAAGGGAUGGUAAAAACUCUCCAGUUCAGCUUCUGAGCCUUAAGUUCAGGUCAGUCAAUUUUUCAGAGGUAUGCAUAUAUAUAUAUGCAUAUAUAUAUAUAUAGCAUGUGAAUUUUUAGACAAAUGUUGCAUAUUACAAUCCAUGCAUUUAUGGAAGCAAUAAGUUGUACUUUUGUACAUUAUCACCAUUAACACAGACAUAUUUGUGUGUAUGGUUUCGUGGGAGAACUGGAUUGCAAAAUUCAGAGAGGUGCACAUUUUGAAGGAGAGGUGCAAUUCAGUGGGUGUUUUGGUUGGGAAUUUGGUGGGGCUUUUAUUACAUUGUGAAUAGGAGAAAUUUCUCCCUCCUCUCUACACCCUGUGAAGGGUGGGCCUGGCGCCUUUUAACGUGGGAGGCACGUUUCUCUGCCUGUUUCUCCAGAUUCAAGAGAAGAGGGGUCCUCACACAAAUGGAGAAUUCAAAGAGCAUACUCAGUGACACAUUAAUGAUGUCUGUUUCUUUCCCUGACAGGUUUAUAUUCAAUAGUGGGACGUCAGCCUGUGCUGACUCAAAUGCUCAGUGGGCCAAGGAUCUUGUGGCAUAUCUAGGCAGUGCUAUGAAUACCACAGCCAUUCCUGCCACUACCACCAGCGCAUAGACCUCAUGAGGAAAACGCAGCCUGAAUCUCAGCAAGCCCUUUGCCCCUUCAAUGGGCCUCCUCUCUCUCUUUCCCCACCUCGAAUUCUGGCCCCUUCAUGGCUGAACAGAUUUUUCAUCCAAGGGAUUCUCUGCCAAUCAAGCAGACAACCUGACUUCUGGGAAAGGCUCUCCCAGAAAGUGUUCCCUGAAGUCAGCAAGUGUCCCUUUCUUAGCUGCUGGAAUGAUAUAAUUUACACUAUUUGAGGGUUCUUUUGUUCACAUAAAAAAACAUCCAUUUCCAAGCAGCUUUGCCAAACCUGGAUCGAGUUCAUCCAUUUUGUUGAAUUGUUUUUAGCUUCAAAAGCGCAAUUAAUUGGCCUUGUUUUGAAUUCCAUUGUGGUAUUAUCUUACUUGGUGGGGUC